UGGGGAGUAUUGGACAAUGGGCGAAAGCCUGAUCCAGCCAUGCCGCAUGAGUGAAGAAGGCCUUUGGGUUGUAAAGCUCUUUUAGUGAGGAAGAUAAUGACGGUACUCACAGAAGAAGUCCUGGCUAACUCCGUGCCAGCAGCCGCGGUAAUACGGAGAGGGCUAGCGUUAUUCGGAAUUAUUGGGCGUAAAGGGCGCGUAGGCUGGUUAGUAAGUUAAAAGUGAAAUCCCGAGGCUUAACCUUGGAACUGCUUUUAAAACUGCUAACCUAGAGAUUGAAAGAGGAUAGAGGAAUUCCUAGUGUAGAGGUGAAAUUCGUAAAUAUUAGGAGGAACACCAGUGGCGAAGGCGUCUAUCUGGUUCAAAUCUGACGCUGAGGCGCGAAGGCGUGGGGAGCAAACA
rnacentral:rRNA from 1 species